GAAAGCCUGAUCCAGCCAUGCCGCGUGAGUGAAGAAGGCCUUCGGGUUGUAAAGCUCUUUCGGUCGGAAAGAAAUAUCUAUAAAAAAUAUUUAUAGAGGAUGACGGUACCGACAUAAGAAGCACCGGCUAACUACGUGCCAGCAGCCGCGGUAAUACGUAGGGUGCAAGCGUUAAUCGGAAUUAUUGGGCGUAAAGGGUGCGCAGGCGGUGUUGUAAGUCAGAUGUGAAAUCCCCGGGCUUAACCUGGGAAUUGCGUU
rnacentral:rRNA from 1 species